UCAGGUCGCCGCUGCGAAAGGAGCCGCCGCCAUGUCUGCGCAUCUGCAAUGGAUGGUCGUGCGGAACUGCUCCAGUUUCCUGAUCAAGAGGAAUAAGCAGACCUACAGCACUGAGCCCAAUAACUUGAAGGCCCGCAAUUCCUUCCGCUACAACGGACUGAUUCACCGCAAGACUGUGGGCGUGGAGCCGGCAGCCGACGGCAAAGGUGUCGUGGUGGUCAUUAAGCGGAGAUCCGGUGAGUUUUGUCUGGUUUGGGCCAGAGAGCGGCCCCUUUCCCGGGUCAGGGAGCUGUGAUUUUUUACUCAGGCAGGAAGAGUGGUAACUGCCAUCGCGGCGGGCAUCCCUGGCGCCAGGGUGUUGGUCUGGGAACCCGCUUCCCUCUCGGCCGACUUGCCAGCUCUGUGAGCCGCGCGCGUCUGAGCCCUUGUCCUCACCUGUAAAGUGGAGAAACGGAAAAGGACCUGAAUUUCCUCGGUGGUUGUUGAGAGUUAAGGCACAGGGUUGAUGUUUUCAGAUGAAAUUCUCAAAGCAAGUCAGGGUGGGGAUGGAUGGGUUCAUCCCACAGGUGGGAAAAUUGAGGCACAACAGGGGAGGGGCCCUCGCUACCACACUUACGAGAGGACAGGCGGGGUUGGUCGCAGCCAUUUGAUUCCCAUUUUGCCUGUGUAGAUUAGAGAAGAGGUCUUGAGGACCCCACUCCAUACAUUGUGCUGUCAGGUGCAGGCCUUUUUGGGGAUUCCCUGAGUGUUCAUGUGAGUCGGGGGUCUCUAAUGGAGGAGUCCAGCUUCACAUGUGUUCUUGACAGGGCUGUAUUUUGUUUUUUUAGAGUGAGUUUUUCUCAGGUCCUUGAUUGGAACUGCCUCAGAGCCAAGGGUCCUUUUAUUCAGUGGCAGCAACAAACGCAGUCUGUUGGCUAGUGAUCCUCCUGUCUCAGGGACACGUAGUCCAGGGAGCAGCCAAUUGCUUGGCACCUGGGGACCCCGUUCUGGGGAGUCCCGAAAGCGUUCCCCUCUUGGAUUGCCGAAUACAUGGGUGGCGCUUCCUAAACUAAGGGUCUGGCCUGAGUGAGGCUGGGCCUCUCAGCCAAGCUGAUGUUGAACCACUGCUGUGGGGAUGGGCCUGGGGUUCCUGAGAAGCUGUUCAUACCCAUUGCCAGGAGCGUGGGCUCUGGCUGGACCUGGAUCAGAUCCUAACUGAAGCAGCAGCUUCCUGGCAUGAGAAAGGAGUGUUUUGGUGGUGGACAGAAUUGGGCUAUGAGUGUGACAGAAACUGUGUCCUCAGUACUCUGUGAUGAUGAGUGAGCCUCUGUGAAAUGGACAGGUGAGGAAACAGCUACCUGCUAGCCUGCCCAGGCACCUGCCAUGGGCCCAGGGUGCUCAGCUUCUCAGUGUGAGACUGUCCACACCUGCGAGGUGCGCUAAAGGUGCGGGUUAGGUGGACUGACCCCAGGACCUCCCUGACCCCCAACCAGGCCAGCGGAAGCCUGCCACCUCCUAUGUGCGGACCACCAUCAACAAGAAUGCUCGCGCCACGCUCAGCAGCAUCAGACACAUGAUCCGCAAGAAUAAGUACCGCCCCGACCUACGCAUGGCCGCCAUCCGCAGGGCCCGCGCCAUCCUGCGCAGCCAGAAGCCUGUGAUGGUGAAGAGGAAGCGGACCCGCCCCUCCAAGAGCUCCUGAGCCCCCUGCCC
rnacentral:sRNA from 1 species